rnacentral:rRNA from 1 species
AGAGUUUGAUCAUGGCUCAGGAUGAACGCUAGCUACAGGCUUAACACAUGCAAGUCGAGGGGAAACGACAUCGAAAGCUUGCUUUUGAUGGGCGUCGACCGGCGCACGGGUGAGUAACGCGUAUCCAACCUGCCCACCACUUGGGGAUAACCUUGCGAAAGUAAGACUAAUACCCAAUGACGUCUCUAGAAGACAUCUGAAAGAGAUUAAAGAUUUAUCGGUGAUGGAUGGGGAUGCGUCUGAUUAGCUUGUUGGCGGGGUAACGCCACCAAGGCGACGAUCAGUAGGGGUUCUGAGAGGAAGGUCCCCCANAUUGGAACUGAGACGACGGUCCAAACUCCUACGGGAGGGA